UCUCCGUAGGUGAACCUGCGGAGGGAUCAUUACUGAGUGAGGGCUCACGCCCGACCUCCAACCCUUUGUGAACACAUCUUGUUGCUUCGGGGGCGACCCUGCCGGCACUUCGUCGCCGGGCGCCCCCGGAGGUCUCCAAACACUGCAACUCUGCGUCGUAGUUUGAAACAAAUUAAACAAAACUUUCAACAGCAGAUCUCUUGGUUCUGGCAUCGAUGAAGAACGCGGC
rnacentral:misc_RNA from 1 species